UUUUACAUGAGAGUUUGAUCCUGGCUCAGGACGAACGCUGGCGGCGUGCCUAAUACAUGCAAGUCGAACGGUCUUUUCUAUGGAAGCUUGCUUCCACUGAGAAGAUAGUGGCGAACGGGUGAGUAACACGUGGGUAACCUGCCCAUAAGAGGGGGAUAACAUCCGGAAACGGGUGCUAAUACCGCAUAGGUUUCUUAGUCGCAUGAUCGAGAAAGGAA
rnacentral:rRNA from 1 species